UACGUAGGGUGCAAGCGUUAAUCGGAAUUACUGGGCGUAAAGCGUGCGCAGGCGGUUUUGUAAGUUUGUCGUGAAAGCCCCGGGCUCAACCUGGGAAUUGCGAUGAAGACUGCAAGGCUUGAAUCUGGCAGAGGGGGGUGGAAUUCCACGUGUAGCAGUGAAAUGCGUAGAGAUGUGGAGGAACACCGAUGGCGAAGGCAGCCCCCUGGGUCAAGAUUGACGCUCAUGCACGAAAGCGUGGGGAGCAAACAGG
rnacentral:rRNA from 1 species